CCUGGCGGCUUUAGCGCGGUGGUCCCACCUGACCCCAUGCCGAACUCAGAAGUGAAACGCCGUAGCGCCGAUGGUAGUGUGGGGUCUCCCC
rnacentral:rRNA from 3 species